rnacentral:rRNA from 1 species
CAGUCGCCGCGGGAAUACGUAGGUGGCAAGUGUUGUCCGGAAUUAUUUGGCGUAAAGGGCUCGCAGGCGGUUUCUUAAGUCUGAUGUGAAAGCCCCCGGCUCAACCGGGGAGGGUCAUUGGAAACUGGGAAACUCGAGUGCAGAAGAGGAGAGUGGAAUUCCACGUGUAGCGGUGAAAUGCGUAGAGAUGUGGAGGAACACCAGUGGCGAAGGCGACUCUCUGGUCUGUAACUGACGCUGAGGAGCGAAAGCGUGGGGAGCGAACAGGAUUAGAUACCCCCGUAGUCCCUGUCUCUUAUAA